GAUGAACGCUGGCGGCGUGCCUAAUACAUGCAAGUCGAGCGAACAGAUGAGGAGCUUGCUCCUCUGACGUUAGCGGCGGACGGGUGAGUAACACGUGGAUAACCUACCUAUAAGACUGGGAUAACUUCGGGAAACCGGAGCUAAUACCGGAUAAUAUAUUGAACCGCAUGGUUCAAUAGUGAAAGACGGUUUUGCUGUCACUUAAAGCUGGAUCCGCGCCGCAUUGGCUAGUUGGUAAGGUAACGGCUUACCAAGGCAACGAUGCGUAGCCGACCUGAGAGGGUGAUCGGCCACACUGGAACUGAGACACGGUCCAGACUCCUACGGGAGGCAGCAGUAGGGAAUCUUCCGCAAUGGGCGAAAGCCUGACGGAGCAACGCCGCGUGAGUGAUGAAGGUCUUCGGAUCGUAAAACUCUGUUAUUAGGGAAGAACAAAUGUGUAAGUAACUAUGCACGUCUUGACGGUACCUAAUCAGAAAGCCACGGCUAACUACGUG
rnacentral:rRNA from 1 species